rnacentral:rRNA from 1 species
AUUGAACGCUGGCGGCAUGCCUUACACAUGCAAGUCGAACGGCAGCACGGGUGCCUGCACCUGGUGGCGAGUGGCCAACGGGUGAGUAAUAUAUCGGAACGUACCCUAUUGUGGGGGAUAACGCAGCGAAAGCUGUGCUAAUACCGCAUAAUCCCUAAGGGGGAAAGCAGGGGACCGUAAGGCCUCGCGCAAUUAGAGCGGCCGAUACCUGAUUAGCUAGUUGGUGAGGUAAAGGCUCACCAAGGCAACGAUCAGUAGCUGGUCUGAGAGGACGAUCAGCCACACUGGGACUGAGACACGGCCCAGACUCCUACGGGAGGCAGCAGUGGGGAAUUUUGGACAAUGGGGGCAACCCUGAUCCAGCAAUGCCGCGUGAGUGAAGAAGGCCUUCGGGUUGUAAAGCUCUUUUGUCAGGGAAGAAACAGCAGCUCUAACACAGUUUGCGAAUGACGGUACCUGAAGAAUAAGCACCGGCUAACUACGUGCCAGCCGCCGCCGUAA